rnacentral:rRNA from 1 species
GACGAACGCUGGCGGCGUGCCUAACACAUGCAAGUCGAACGGAACUUACCGAAUGAAGUUUUCGGAUGGAUUUUGAUAAGUUUAGUGGCGGACGGGUGAGUAACGCGUGAGUAACCUGCCUUCAAGAGGGGAAUAACGUUCUGAAAAGAACGCUAAUACCGCAUAACAUACGGAUGUCGCAUGGCAACCGUAUCAAAGAUUAUAUCGCUUGAAGAUGGACUCGCGUCCGAUUAGCCAGUUGGCGGGGUAACGGCCCACCAAGCGACGAUCGGUAGCCGGACUGAGAGGUUGAACGGCCACAUUGGGACUGAGACACGGCCCAG